rnacentral:tRNA from 2 species
GGGCCCAUAGCUCAGCUGGUAGAGCUCCCGGCUCAUAACCGGAGGGUCCCUGGUUCGAACCCAGGUGGGCCCA